GCCUUGCCUCGGGUGUAGGGAUUGCAAGGGAAAAGCAAAACUACACGUUUAGACCCUGUGUAGUUUUGUUUUUUGGGUUAUAACGGGGCCCAACCGUUCUCACCUUGGAUUUUCUGGAAACAUUUUGGAUAAGAGGAUUGUUGCUGAGGCACUAGCCACCUGGGUACAGUCCCAUCAAGUGUAGGCAACCUUGUGAUACAAGGUGCCUUCUACCAUGUCAACACAAGCUCCAACAUUUACACAGCCGCUUCAGAGCGUUGUGGCACUUGAGAGUAGUGCUGCAACGUUCGAGGCUCAAGUUAGUGGUAAUCCAGUUCCAGAGGUGAGCUGGUUUUGUGAUGGCCAGGUUCUUACUGCUGCAGCUCUGCCCGGCGC